GGGGGAUUAGCUCAGUUGGGAGAGCGUUGCACUGGCAGUGCAAAGGUCGAGGGUUCGAGUCCCUUAUCCUCCACCA
rnacentral:tRNA from 1 species